rnacentral:rRNA from 1 species
UACGGAGGGUGCAAGCGUUAUCCGGAUUCACUGGGUUUAAAGGGUGCGUAGGCGGGCAGGUAAGUCAGUGGUGAAAUCUCCGAGCUUAACUCGGAAACUGCCGUUGAUACUAUUUGUCUUGAAUAUUGUGGAGGUAAGCGGAAUAUGUCAUGUAGCGGUGAAAUGCUUAGAUAUGACAUAGAACACCAAUUGCGAAGGCAGCUUACUACACAACGAUUGACGCUGAGGCACGAAAGCGUGGGAUCAAACAGG